AGCGAACGCUGGCGGCAGGCCUAACACAUGCAAGUCGAACGAACCUUUCGGGGUUAGUGGCGGACGGGUGAGUAACACGUGGGAACGUGCCUUUAGGUUCGGAAUAACUCAGGGAAACUUGUGCUAAUACCGAAUGUGCCCUUCGGGGGAAAGAUUUAUCGCCUUUAGAGCGGCCCGCGUCUGAUUAGCUAGUUGGUUGAGGUAAUGGCUCACCAAGGCGACGAUCAGUAGCUGGUCUGAGAGGAUGAUCAGCCACAUUGGGACUGAGACACGGCCCAAACUCCUACGGGAGGCAGCAGUGGGGAAUCUUGCGCAAUGGGCGAAAGCCUGACGCAGCCAUGCGGCGUGAAUGAUGAAGGUCUUAGGAUUGUAAAAUUCUUUCACCGGGGACGAUAAUGACGGUACCCGGAGAAGAAGCCCCGGCUAACUUCGUG
rnacentral:rRNA from 1 species